ACUUUCAUAUAAUAUAGUUUUCCAAGGGAACCGUCCUGAGACAUUCCUUGGAGAAAUGCGUUAUGUGUGUUAAUACGAACCGGCAUUAAUAUGAAGCGGCCAUUAUUAUCCAGAUAACACUUUAUGACGUCUUCUGGACAUUUGGAUAAAAGUAUAUAAUAAUCGUGCUUUCUAGGAUUUCUAUUUUGACCGGUAUACUCCAGACUUCAGGCCAACUAUAAGGCACUAACAAUCCCGGAAUUUCGGCAAUAAUCGAUCUCUGGCAGUAUAAUGGAAUCUCUGGCAUUAAGGCUACCUUCAGAAGAACUUUAAAGCGAUGCGCAAGCACAAAUGCCGGAGCGGUAUCAUGGUCACGACCCACGUGACCGUUUUAAAGGAUCGCCAGCAGCCACCAUCAAUCAAAUCGACGGAGAACGGAUUCUCUCGCUGCGCACGGGUUCAUUAAUUAUCGCGCAAUGCACGGAGAAGAAGGAGGAGGAGGAGGAGGAGGAGGAGGAGGAGGACGCGCUUUUUUUUUGUCGCCGUAAAACAACGGGGACCAAAGCGAGCGGGCACGCAGGAACGUCGCCGCGGUCGUGAGUGCAGGUAAGCUCGAUGGCAUUCUAACUGGACGCUCUCUCGUGGACCUAGCCCUCUCCUCUCUCUUCCUCCCGCCCUCUCUCGUCCUCCUCUCUCAAAAAAAGGGUAGAGAGUGCCAGUCAUAUAUUAGAGAACUGUUGGGGACACCUAACAAGCUGGCAGAACACGUUUCCCAGAAUCGGGGGUACCUGGCCCCGGGUACCUCUACGAGCAACCCUCUCUGAAUCCGUCUCCGUCUCACUCCCACCUCCUCCUCCUCCACCUUUCUCGCGUCCUUUCACUGCCG